rnacentral:misc_RNA from 1 species
GAAAUGCGAUACGUAAUGUGAAUUGCAGAAUUCCGUGAACCAUCCAAUCUUUGAACGCAUAUUGCGCUCAAGGCCUCGGCCAAGAGCAUGUCUGCCUCAGCGUCGGCUUUACCCUCGCCUUGGCUCCUCGCUAGUGGAGUUUUGGACGGAGCUGAUGGUCUCGCUGCUGUCAGUGCAGCGGGUCCAUUGAAACUCAUCGGCCCAGCAUUCACCCGCUUGGAUGGUAUCGUCCAGGUGCGCUGGCAAGGUAGGUGGCCUCGGCUGCAUGCCGCCAGACAGCCUCGGGUGUAUGCUUGGUGACCUACAUAUACUUACUACCUCGACCUGAGAUCAGGCAAGAUCACCCGCUGAACUUAA